rnacentral:rRNA from 1 species
AUUGAACGCUGGCGGCAGGCCUAACACAUGCAAGUCGAGCGAGCGGAGGACGGGAGAGUAAUGUAUGGAGAUCUGCCCGAUAGAGGGGGAUAACUACUGGAAACGGUGGCAAAUACCGCAUACUAUCGGAUGAACCCCUAUGGGAUUAGCUAGUAGGUGGGGUAAAGGCUCACCUAGGCGACGAUCGCUCGCUGGUCUGAGAGGAUGAUCAGCCACACUGGGACUGAGACACGGCCCAGACUCCUACGGGAGGCAGCAGUGGGGAAUAUUGCACAAUGGGCGCAAGCCUGAUGCAGCCAUGCCGCGUGUAUGGAGAAGGCCUUAGGGGUGUAAAGUACUUUCAGCGGGGAGGCGUUACCCGCAGAAGAAGCACCGGCUAACUCCGUGCCAGCAGCCGCGGUAAUUC